GACGGAGGGGGCAAGCGUUGUCCGGACUCACUGGGCGUAAAGGGUGCGUAGGCGGUUUGGAGCGUCCGCGCUGAAAUCACACGGCUUAACCGUGUGGCGCGUGCGGAUACGACUAGGCUUGAGGUGUGGAGAGGAUGGGGGAACUCCUGGUGUAGUGGUGAAAUGCGUAGAUAUAGGAAGGAACACCAGUGGCGAAGGCGACCACCUGGACUGAUACUGACACUGAGGUGCGAAAGCGUGGGGAGCAAACAGG
rnacentral:rRNA from 1 species